UACGAAGGGGGCUAGCGUUGCUCGGAAUCACUGGGCGUAAAGCGCACGUAGGCGGAUUGCUAAGUCAGGGGUGAAAUCCUGGAGCUCAACUCCAGAACUGCCUUUGAUACUGGAGAGCUCGAGUCCGGAAGAGGUGAGUGGAACUGCGAGUGUAGAGGUGAAAUUCGUAGAUAUUCGCAAGAACACCAGUGGCGAAGGCGGCUCACUGGCCCGGUACUGACGCUGAGGUGCGAAAGCGUGGGGAGCAAACAGG
rnacentral:rRNA from 1 species